GGCCACCAUCUUGCGGGCGGGACAGCUACUGCGGUCUGGGCAAUGCCUCCCUUGCGAUGUACGGAGGCGGCGGGCUCGUUCCCUUUGUCCCUUCUUCUCUGGCGUGUGUUAGCGCACCGCCAGACGCUCGUCCCGGCAGCCCGGCCGCCUCCGGGCCCGGCAAAGCCACUGAGAGAGCGGCAAAAAGGAAAGCCGUCUCACGGUAUCUUUCUGGCGCGCACGGCAGCUUCACGCAUGCGGGGUGACUGCAGCACAUGAGGUGGCAGAAAGCAGGCUGCUCUGGGACAAUUUGCAGUCAGAAACCAUUGCAUUCCGGGAUUUUCUGACAGCUCCUGUUACUGUACGGCCCCGCGUGGGACAGAACAGUGUGGCAGGAACAAUGCCAGCUGUUAGAAACCAAGUACAAUCUGUGGGUCUGGCCUAGCCAUCUACGUUAACUUUGGAUCCAGUUUCUGAUCCGGCCACCCUGGAAGGACUUUGUUAUGGGGUAAGAGCAAAUUGCAAGCGGCAAUGUGGGAAUGUGCGCUGUGAAGGAAAGCAAUACACCCACAGAUUUACAAAGCUUAACAGACAAAUACUGUUAUAAAAAAGAUAACCUUUCUCAGAAAAAAAAAAUCCCCAACUAAAACCACAGUUUGUAUACGAGGCUGAUAAAUAUUCUGAAAUGUUACAAUAAAUAGCACACAGUUGUGAAAACA